rnacentral:rRNA from 1 species
CCUACGGGUGGCAGCAGUGAGGAAUAUUGCUCAAUGGCGCGAGCCUGAACCAGCCAAGUCGCGUGAAGUAUGACUGCCCUUCGGGUUGUAAACUUCUUUUAUAAAGGAAUAAAGUGAGUCACGUGUGCCUUUUUGUCUGUACUUUAUGAAUCAGGAUCAGCUAACUCAGUGCCAGCAGCCGCGGGAAUACGGAGGAUCCGAGCGUUAUCCGGAUUUAUUGGGUGUAAAGGGAGCGUAGAUGGGUUGUUAAGUCAGUUGUGAAAGUUUGCGGCGCAACCGUAAAAUUGCAAUUGAUACUAGCAGGCUUGAGUACAGUUGAGGUAGGCAGAAUGCGUGGUGUAGCGGUGAAAUGCUUAGAGAUCACGAAGAAUUCCGAUUGCGAAGGCAGCUUACUAAACUGCCACUGACAUUGAUGCUCGAAAGUGUGGGUAUCAAACAGGAUUAGAUACCCUUGUAGUC